rnacentral:rRNA from 1 species
GUGGGUNUCCGCACGAGCGCACCCUUGUUCGCUGUUGCCAUCAGUUCGGCUGGGCACUCUGCGAAGACUGCCGGGUGAUAAACCGGAGGAAGGUGGGGAUGACGUCAAGUCAGCAUGGCCUUUAUGUCCGGGGCUACACACGUGCUACAAUGGUCGGUACAGAGCGUCGCGAACUCGCGAGGGGGAGCUAAUCGCACAAAACCGGUCUCAGUUCGGAUUGUAGGCUGCAACUCGCCUGCAUGAAGUUGGAAUCGCUAGUAAUCGCGGAUCAGCAUGCCGCGGUGAAUACGUUCCCGGGCCUUGUACACACCGCCCGUCACAUCACGAAAGCUGGCUGUACUAGAAGUCGCCGAGCUAACCCGCAAGGGACGCAAGCGCCUAAGGUAUGGUUGGUGAUUGGGGUGAAGUCGUAACAAGGUAGCCGUAGGGGAACCUGCGGCUGGAUCACCUCCUUU